AGAUGGCGAGUGGGAAUGACAAGUCAGUGGCAGACAGCGCGUCCUCUGCUGCUGAAUGAUAGCGAUGCAUCGUGUUUAGCGGAGUGAUCUUCAAGAAAACUCCUGGAAAAAGAUCAGAUUGAUACCUCCAGGAGUAUUACCAGUGUCAAGACCAAACGAGAAGGAGAGACUAGAGAAGAAAAUGGUGCUGAGAGCCAUUUAGUGGACCUCUCUCUCUUGUUCUCUCUCUCUCUUUUUGUCCUCUGUCUAUCCCUACUCAACUGCUCCUCCCCCUCUCUUUACCCCUCCUAAAGUCUCGCUAUCUCUCCACCACUACCUCUCUAUCUCUCCAUGUGAGAUUGGGUAUUUUCCUCCCUGAGUGCUCUCAAUGACUGGAGCGAUUGUAGAGUGUAUGGCUGUCCACCCAUGUGUGUCCUCAAGCAGUAGCCAUCUUGCAGCCUGCCUAUUCAAAACAAUAUUCAACAGCAAGGUAAUUUCAUCAGCCUCUCACUCUAUGGUCCAGGGCUCACCAGUGAUAUUGUUCUUCACUCUCGUUCUAUCUUUUGCUCUCUCUCUCUCUUGCUUUCUCUCUCACUUUCUUUUUCUUUCUCUCUUGUUUAAAAUCAGCCCUUUUGCAGCUGUGUUACGUGUCUGUGAGCUGUGAGGGCUGUGAGCUUGUGGCUGGAGAGGGUGAUCGUUUGUUUAUAGAGUAGGGAGUGGUGGAGGGGGGCUGUGGUUGAUGUGAGGAGGAGCACAUUGGCUUGGCUUUUCAUUGUCUAUAGGCAAUGACUGUGUUUCCAGUGGUUCCCUACUGCCAGUAGAGUACAUUGCUUUUGGCCUGAGCUAUGCUAUUCUAUACAGCUCUGGGCAAAGUAGUGUAAUGUAUGGAGAACUGGGAGUAUACUGCACAUGACUAGAGUUGUACCAUCAUUACAUACAGGUGGCAGAUUUGUAGGUUGUCAGCUGUACACAUGUCAUACAGACUCGUAGGUGGUUGACUGUGCAUGCACUGUGGAAUAUUAUGCAGAGAGCAGAUAUGUUGGCAGUCAUGUAGGCAUUAUCUGGGCUGUACAGUCUAAAGUACAAAUUAGGGCUGUGACGAUACCAGUAUUGCAACAAAACAAAAUCCAUGUAAAAAAAAUGAAAGCAAGAAGCAGACCAAGCUCUUUGGUCUUUGAAAAACCUGGUACAUGUCAAAUGUUGUGUACUGUAGCUUGGGAAAUAAAUACAUGUGACUCUGGAUGAUGUUUACCCUAUAUGCAAGUACAGCGGCAAACCGGCGCUGCUACAUUGUGGCCGCCACUGAAAAAUAUUAUAUAUAUAUGUAUAUAUGAGUAUACACUGAGUAUACAAAACAUUAGGAACAACUGCUCUUUUCAUGACAUACUGUAGGUGAAUCCAGUGCUGUAGUCCAAACACAUUAUUUUUACCCCCUCAGCCCUUGCGCUAGCCACCUUCCUUUGGGGGGGAUCCCCAUUGAAACCGGGCGCAGUUUGAUUGUCAUCUUAAGUGGAGGUCCAAUUCACUAACGUUGCCCCCUCGGCCCUCGAGUGAAGAACUUUGGUCACUUGUGGGGUUGUUAUGACCCACAAUUCAAUGCAAACUGUAGUCACAUGUCAAACCCAUAAAGUGUCAAAUUUAAUCAAUAACUC
ensembl:lncRNA